rnacentral:rRNA from 1 species
GACGAACGCUGGCGGCGUGCUUAACACAUGCAAGUCGAACGGAAAGGCCCUGCUUGCAGGGUACUCGAGUGGCGAACGGGUGGGUAACACGUGGGUGAUCUGCCCUGCACUUCGGGAUAAGCCUGGGAAACUGGGUCUAAUACCGGAUAGGAGCCAUUUUUAGUGUGAUGGUUGGAAAGUUUUUUCGGUGUUGGAUGAGAUCGCGGGCUAUCUGCUUGUUGGUGGGGUAAUGGCCUACCAAGGCGGCGGCGGGUAGCCGGCCUGAGAGGGUGGACGGCGACAUAGAGACUGAGAGACGGCCCAGACACCGACAGGAGGCAGCAGGGGGGAAGAUUGCACAAGGGGCGCAGGCCUGAUGCAGCGACGCUGCGUGGGGGAUGACGGCCUUAGGGUUGUAAACUCCUUUCGCUAGGGACGAAGCUUUUUGUGACGGUACCUAGAUAAGAAGCACCGGCUAACUACGUG